rnacentral:rRNA from 1 species
GAUGAACGCCGGCGGCGUGCCUAAUACAUGCAAGUCGAGCGAACGGACGAGAAGCUUGCUUCUCUGAUGUUAGCGGCGGACGGGGGAGUAACACGUGGAUAACCUACCUAUAAGACUGGGAUAAAUUCUGGGAACCGGAGCUAAUACCGGAUGAUAUUUUUAACCGCAUGGUUCAAAAGUGAAAGACGGUCUUUCUGUCACUUAUAGAUGGAUCCGCGCUGCAUUAGCUAGUUGGUAAGGUAACGGCUUACCAAGGCAACGAUGCAUAGCCGACCUGAGAGGGUGAUCGGCCACACUGGAACUGAGACACGGUCCAGACUCCUACGGGAGGCAGCAGUAGGGAAUCUUCCGCAAUGGGCGAAAGCCUGACGGAGCAACGCCGCGUGAGUGAUGAAGGUCUUCGGAUCGUAAAACUCUGUUAUUAGGGAAGAACAUAUGUGUAAGUAACUGUGCACAUCUUGACGGUACCUAAUCAGAAAGCCACGGCUAACUACGUG